GUAUUGGCCUACCGUGGCAAUGACGGGUAACGGGGAAUUAGAGUUCGAUUCCGGAGAGGGAGCCUGAGAAACGGCUACCACAUCUAAGGAAGGCAGCGGGCGCGCAAAUUACCCAAUCCUAAUACAGGGAGGUAGUGACAAGAAAUAACAACACAGGACUUUUUGGUUUUGUAAUUGGAAUGAGUUAAGUAUAAACCCCUUUACAAGUAUCAAUUGGAGGGCAAGUCUGGUGCCAGCAGCCGCGGUAAUUCCAGCUCCAAUAGCGUAUAUUAAAGUUGUUGCAGUUAAAAAGCUCGUAGUUGGAUUUCUGUUAAUAAUUUAUAUAUUAUACUUUUUAAGGUGUUUAUAUAAUAUUAACAUAAUUCAUAUUACUAUAUUUUUUUAGUAUAUGAAAUUUUACUUUGAGAAAAUUAGAGUGCUUAAAGCAGGCGUUAGCCUUGAAUACUCCAGCAUGGAAUAAUAUUAAAGAUUUUUAUCUUUCUUAUUGGUUCUAAGAUAAGAAUAAUGAUUAAUAGGGACAGUUGGGGGCAUUUGUAUUUAA
rnacentral:rRNA from 1 species